CCUACGGGCGGCUGCAGUGGGGAAUAUUGGACAAUGGGCGAAAGCCUGAUCCAGCCAUGCCGCGUGUGUGAAGAAGGCCUUCGGGUUGUAAAGCACUUUCAGUGGGGAAGAAAGCCUUGGGGCUAAUACCCUCGAGGAAGGACAUCACCCACAGAAGAAGCACCGGCUAACUCCGUGCCAGCAGCCGCGGUAAUACGGAGGGUGCGAGCGUUAAUCGGAAUUACUGGGCGUAAAGCGCGCGUAGGCGGUCUGAUAAGCCGGUUGUGAAAGCCCCGGGCUCAACCUGGGAACGGCAUCCGGAACUGGCAGGCUAGAGUGCAGGAGAGGAAGGUAGAAUUCCCGGUGUAGCGGUGAAAUGCGUAGAGAUCGGGAGGAAUACCAGUGGCGAAGGCGGCCUUCUGGACUGACACUGACGCUGAGGUGCGAAAGCGUGGGUAGCAAACAGGAUUAGAUACCCGGGUAGUC
rnacentral:rRNA from 1 species